AACGCGAAGAACCUUACCAGCCCUUGACAUGGCAGGACGAUUUCCGGAGACGGAUUUCUUCACUUCGGUGACCUGCACACAGGUGCUGCAUGGCUGUCGUCAGCUCGUGUCGUGAGAUGUUGGGUUAAGUCCCGCAACGAGCGCAACCCUCGCCUUUAGUUGCCAUCAUUUAGUUGGGCACUCUAGAGGGACUGCCGGUGAUAAGCCGGAGGAAGGUGGGGAUGACGUCAAGUCUUCAUGGCCCUUACGGGCUGGGCUACACACGUGCUACAAUGGCGGUGACAGAGGGCAGCUAGUCCGCGAGGACAUGCUAAUCCCUAAAAGCCGUCUCAGUUCGGAUUGCACUCUGCAACUCGAGUGCAUGAAGUUGGAAUCGCUAGUAAUCGCAGAUCAGCACGCUGCGGUGAAUACGUUCCCGGGCCUUGUACACACCGCGAC
rnacentral:rRNA from 1 species